rnacentral:rRNA from 1 species
GACAGAGGGUGCAAACGUUGUUCGGAAUUACUGGGCGUAAAGCGCGUGUAGGCGGCCCUGCAAGUCGGGUGUGAAAUCCCACGGCUCAACCGUGAAGUGCACUCGAAACUGCAGGGCUAAAGUCCUGGAGAGGAAGGUGGAAUGCUUGGUGUAGAGGUGAAAUUCGUAGAUAUCAAGCGGAACACCGGUGGCGAAGGCGGCCUUCUGGACAGUGACUGACGGCUGAGACGCGAAAGCGUGGGGGAGCAAACAGGG